rnacentral:rRNA from 1 species
AUUGAACGCUGGCGGCAGGCCUAACACAUGCAAGUCGAGCGGAUGAGUGGAGCUUGCUCCAUGAUUCAGCGGCGGACGGGUGAGUAAUGCCUAGGAAUCUGCCUGGUAGUGGGGGACAACGUUUCGAAAGGAACGCUAAUACCGCAUACGUCCCACGGGAGAAAGUGGGGGAUCUUCGGACCUCACGCUAUCAGAUGAGCCUAGGUCGGAUUAGCUAGUUGGUGAGGUAAAGGCUCACCAAGGCGACGAUCCGUAACUGGUCUGAGAGGAUGAUCAGUCACACUGGAACUGAGACACGGUCCAGACUCCUACGGGAGGCAGCAGUGGGGAAUAUUGGACAAUGGGCGAAAGCCUGAUCCAGCCAUGCCGCGUGUGUGAAGAAGGUCUUCGGAUUGUAAAGCACUUUAAGUUGGGAGGAAGGGAAGUAAGUUAAUACCUUGCUGUUUUGACGUUACCAACAGAAUAAGCACCGGCUAACUUCGUGCCAGCAGCCGCAGUAACAC